rnacentral:rRNA from 1 species
UAAAGAAUCCUCGGGUCCGGAUGGGCACGCGUGGCAUUAGCUUGUUGGCGGGGUAACGGCCCACCAAGGCGACGAUGCCUAGGGGUUCUGAGAGGAAGGUCCCCCACACUGGUACUGAGACACGGACCAGACUCCUACGGGAGGCAGCAGUGAGGAAUAUUGGUCAAUGGGCGAGAGCCUGAACCAGCCAAGUCGCGUGAGGGACGACGGCCCUACGGGUUGUAAACCUCUUUUGCCGGGGGACAAACGGCGGCACGCGUGCCGUCCUGAGGGUACCCGGAGAAAAAGCAUCGGCUAACUCCGUGCCAGCAGCCGCGGUAAUACGGAGGAUGCGAGCGUUAUCCGGAUUUAUUGGGUUUAAAGGGUGCGUAGGCGGGAUGCCAAGUCAGCGGUCAAAUACGGGGGCUCAACCUGCGUCCGCCGUUGAAACUGGCGUUCUUGAGUGGGCGAGAAGUACGCGGAAUGCGUGGUGUAGCGGUGAAAUGCAUAGAUAUCACGCAGAACCCCGAUUGCGAAGGCAGCGUACCGGCGCCCAACUGACGCUGAAGCACGAAAGCGUGGGUAUCGAACAGGAUUAGAUACCCUGGUAGUCCACGCAGUAAACGAUGAACACUAAUUGUCCGGCGGGGUUUGCCGCUGG